rnacentral:misc_RNA from 1 species
GUGAAUCAUCAAAUUUUUGAACGCAAAUUGCACUCUCCUCGGAGAGUAUGCCUGUUUGAGGGUCAGCCUAUAAAAAAUCGACAUCGUUGCUGUUUUGCGGUGGCGUUCGUCGGAAAUUGGGUCAUCUUAAAUCCUUUUGAUUUAAGCGACUUAAAUUUUCUUUUUCGUUUCAUCGAAGGUUCUUAAGUUUUAUUCUUUACACGUUUAA